UACGGAGGGGGCUAGCGUUGUUCGGAAUUACUGGGCGUAAAGCGUGCGCAGGCGGUUUUGUAAGCCAGAUGUGAAAUCCCAGGGCUCAACCCUGGGCGUGCAGUGGAUACGGGCAGGCUGGAGGCAGGCAGGGGAGAACGGAAUUCCCGGUGUAGCGGUGAAAUGCGCAGAUAUCGGGAGGAACACCGGUGGCGAAGGCGGUUCUCUGGGCCUGUUCUGACGCUGAGGAGCGAAAGCGUGGGGAGCGAACAGG
rnacentral:rRNA from 1 species